AGCACCAGUUGCACGGGGUGGGGCACCAGAAUGCAGAAAGUUUUCUAGCAUGUAGGGCAGCCUUUAUGGUAUUGCAUCAUGCUUUCUCCAUUUUAAGACCACCCUAGAGGGCACUUUAUCACAUUUACUUCACUGAAAGGACACGACUUUGAAAUAGAGUAUGUGAAGAACUGAGACACUUCAGAGAGCAUAAAAAAAAUUCACAAUUUGGUCAGUACAAAAGAAGCAUUGAUUUCAUGCGUAAUCCCCACCCCAGACUCAAAUGGUGCACAUUUACCUGAAGCUGAAUUAAUAUAGCUUUAUUAUAUAUUUAA